UUUUGAAUCAACCAUUUAUCUCAUCUCAAAUUCAUAAAUAUGUCAUCACAAGGUCGUAAUAUGAAUGCAAACAUGGAUCCUCCUAUACGUAGACGG